UGGCUUCAUUUCAACAUGUACUCAAUAUUAAAAUUAUUGGUGAGAGAUCUACAUUCUUUUUUUGGUGCUAAGCCUUCAAAGUCUGUGUGUUCUACACUGUGUCACACUUCAAUUCAAGCUCACCAUAUUCAGAGUGUUCAGUAGCAUCAGGUGGCAUAUUGUGAUUGGGUUGGACAGCACAGAACUAGAUGCUAACAGCUGGGGAAGAGGAAGAAGUGGAACUGGAAGGCUGAAAUCCAUUGACAGUCUGUAUGCAGAAUAGUCAUCUCUUGACAGCUGAGGGUGGGAGGCCGGAGAGGGAGGAUCUGUAUAAAAAACAGAAUGAAUGCUCGGUAGUGAGAAAUCUAUUCAUAUAACCCGUUAUAUUAAUUAAAAAAUACUAACAGAUUCUUUUUGUAAAAUUUAAAAUCAAUUUUUAAACUUUUAUUUAGGUUCAGGGAUACACUUGGAGGUUUUUAUGUGUGUAAAUUGCAUGUCACGGGGGUUUGGUGUACAGGUUAUUUAAUCACCCGGUUAAUAAGCAUAGUACCUGAUAGACAGUUUUUCGAUCCUCUAAGAUUCUAUUUUGUUAACAUUCAACAUGAACGACUAAUUAAAACAACAACAACAACAACAACAACAAAAACCCGUGGUGAAAUAAAAUAGAGGGAUAUUUCCCUCAGUGGUAAAGAAUAUUUACUUAAAUCAAUGAUCAACUUUAUAAGUGGUUUAAUAGCAGAAGCAUUCCCAGCAAGUUCAGAACUAUUUUUUAAGCAUUGAGCUGGAAGGGCUAACCAAUUAAAUUAGAUAAGGGCCUACAUUUAAGGGUAAAAAUAUUGACAGGAAGAGGCAAAAUAGAAAAAAGAUCCCAUUUACAAUGGUGGUGACAAGAAAAUUAAUAGGAUUUCAAUGAAGUCGUAGUAGAUUAAAAAUGACUACAAAUUAUUUGCCACUUUGCUUAGAAAGAGGCUGAAUCUAAUUCACCCCUCAAUGACUAGGCUUGGCCACGUGACUUGCCUCGGUCAAUGGGACACCGGCAAGUAUGGCGUAGCAGAGGCUUGAUAGUUGCUCACGCAUUGGAGCUUGUCCAAGUAAAAAAGCUAGUCUAGUGCGUGGAGGAUGAAAGGAGGCUUGGAAGAGGACCAAGGUACCCAGCUGCCAGCUCGAUCCAAGGCUCCUGACAAGUCCAUCUUGGUCCCUGCACUGCAGCCAGCUGAAUGUAGUCUCAUGAAUGAGCCCAGACAAGAACAUCAAAUGAUAGAGAAAUGAUAUAUAGUCAAUCAUUAACUUUGGGGAUAGACUGUCAUGCAGCAAUAAUUAACUGAUACAGAAGAAAACUGCUUUAGAAUCCCGGAGUUGUAGUUAUUUUGGAAAUCAUCUGAUGGCCUUGCCUUACAACAAAGGGAUACUGGAAACUGGGAGUAGACAGUUUAAGAGAGGGGAUGACAUGGGCAGGUUUAAGGCCAGCAAUUUCAUCUCCAUUUAUGCAUUAAUUUAGUAAUUCUUUCAUCAAGCAUUCUUUGAAUGCUCACUGAGCUUGGUGCUCAGAAAAAUGGAACAGGCUGAGUUCAGAGGGAGAGACAGGCAUAGGAGGAAACAGCCAUGAUAUCAAGAGAUAAACAGUAUAAUAAAAGUAUAUGCAGAGGGCUGUUUCCAGGGACAUGGGGCCAAAGUGGGAGGGUCACUGAAGUGACAUUUGGACUGGGUCAUAAAGGAUCAAUAAGAUUUUAUGAGUCAGAGAAGGUUGGGGAAGGACAUUUCAGGCAGAGACAGGAGUAGCAAAGGCCCAGAAAUGUCUUAGUGUAAACCAAAUCAAGGAAAUGGUAGGGGGUAUGGACCAGUCUCUAGCCAGGUUUCAGCUAGGACCUACAAAGUGAAAAGGACACCUCCUAUAAUAUUUAGCUAGACGGUUCAGAAUUUAUACCUUGUCUCGUCUUUGCUGUUCUGUCUUUAACAUAAUGCUGGCUUGUGCUGUUCCAGUGCUUACAGUGAAACUGAAUGUCAAGUGAAGCCAUCUGAAAAUAAAAAGGGACCAGAAAUCAUCUUGUCUCUUUAUUUUGUGACAUGUUUCAUUCUUCUCUUUCCAGCAACUUUAAAAAAUUCAUUCAGUUUGCUUCCAUUUCUGUUAUUUUAAAAAUAUGUCCUCUUGUUUCUUUGAUUUUCUUAAGUAGCAUAAGCCACUCCUGCCUGUAGACACACACACUCAUUCUGCCUUGUUGUGCUGGGCCGUCAGCAGGAACCACUCUUAACUCUAGCUCCAUGUGAGCUCUCUUCCAGGAAGUAAUAGAGCUGGGGAGCUGGUACUUGAAGGAUGAGACUUCACCAGGCAGUUAAAGGAGAAAAGCGAUCCAGGCAGAGGAAACAGUGGGAGCUAAAACCUGGAAGAGUAACUCCUGAGGGUCAUGAAGUUUGUCCUACUAUAAAUGUACAAAUGUGUGUGUGUGAUCUCACCAUCGCCAUCACUGUGACGCUGCUGAGGCAGGUUCAGAAAAAACUUGAAUGUCACGCUGGAGGGUGUGGUCUUUAUUCUGCAGGUGAGAGAACUAUGAGUGGUUUUAAAGCCAGGUAAUGCCAUGCCCUGAUUUGGUUUUGAGCCAUCACUCUGUAGCAGAACAGAGAGAAAGGGGGGCUGGUUAGGAGGCUAUUUAAUUGCGGUGUAUCACGUGACAGAUGUUAGACUUGGAAGUCAGUAUUCCAGAAGAGAAGAGCAAAAGUAAUGUGGUACUGGGGGUGGUGGUUAGCCUGGGGACUGGGUGCAUGGCGAAAGCCAAGUUUCACAGCAAGACAGGGAAAAGAAGGUGUGUGUGA
rnacentral:lncRNA from 1 species